rnacentral:rRNA from 1 species
AGCAGCCGCGGUAAUUCCAGCUCCAAUAGCGUAUAUUAAAGUUGUUGCAGUUAAAAAGCUCGUAGUUGAAUUUCGGGAUCAAUAUGUUGGUCGUGCCUUGGUACGUACUGGCAUUAUUGGUUUCUACCUUCUGAAGAACCUCGAUGUCAUUAAUUUGGUGUCUUGGGGAAUCAGGACUGUUACUUUGAAAAAUUAGAGUGUUUAAAGCAGGCUCGCGCUUGAAUACAUUAGCAUGGAAUAAUGAAAUAGGACGUUUGAUUCUAUUUUGUUGGUUUCUAGGAUUGACGUAAUGAUUAAUAGGGAUAGUUGGGGGCAUUAGUAUUCAAUUGUCAGAGGUGAAAUUCUUGGAUUUAUUGAAGACUAACUACUACGAAAGCAUUUGCCAAGGAUGUUUUCAUUAAUCAAGAACGAAAGUUAGGGGAUCGAAGACGAUCAGAUACCGUCGUAGUCUUAACCAUAAACUAUGACCGACUAGGGAUCGGAUGAUGUUAAUUUUUAAUG